ACAGGAGGCGAGCGUUAUCCGGAUUUACUGGGCGUAAAGCGCACGCAGGUGGCCUGGUAAGUUGGCCGUGAAAGCUCCCGGCUUAACUGGGAGAGGUCGGUCAAGACUGCUGGGCUUGAGGUUGGGAGAGGGGUGUGGAAUUCCCGGUGUAGUGGUGGAAUGCGUAGAUAUCGGGAGGAACACCAGUGGCGAAGGCGGCACCCUGGCCCACACCUGACGCUGAGGUGCGAAAGCGUGGGGAGCAAACAGG
rnacentral:rRNA from 1 species